rnacentral:rRNA from 1 species
GGUUGACCUCGGAUCAGGUAGGACUACCCGCUGAACUUAAGCAUAUCAAUAAGCGGAGGAAAAGAAACCAACAGGGAUUGCCCUAGUAACGGCGAGUGAAGCGGCAACAGCUCGAAUUUGAAAUCUGGCCUCGGCCCGAGUUGUAAUCUGUAGAGGACGCUUUUGGCGCGGUGCCUUCCGAGUUCCCUGGAACGGGACGCCACAGAGGGUGAGAGCCCCGUAAGGUCGGACACCAAGCCUGUGUAAAGCCCCUUCGACGAGUCGAGUAGCUUGGGAAUGCUGCUCUAAGCGGGAGGUAUACUUCUUCUAAAGCUAAAUAUUGGCCAGAGACCGCUAGCGCACAAGUAGAGUGAUCGAAAGAUGAAAAGCACUUUGAAAAGAGGGUCAAAUAGUACGUGAAAUUGUUGAAAGGGAAGCGCUUGUGAUCAGACUCGCGCCGGGCGGAUCAUCCAGUGGUCUCCACUGGUGCACUCCGGCCGGCGCGGGCCAGCGUCGGCUGUUGCGGGGGGACAAAAGCUCUGGGAACGUAGCUCUCUCCGGGGAGUGUUAUAGCCCUCUGCAGAAUACCCCCGCGGCGGCCGAGGUCCGCGCAUUGCAAGGACGCUGGCGUAAUGGUCAUCAGCGACCCGUCUUGAAACACGGACCAAGGAGUCGAGGUUUUGCGCGAGUGUUCGGGUGCAAAGCCCCAACGCGUAAUUAACGUGAACGUAGGUGAGAGCUUCGGCGCAUCAUCGACCGAUCCUGAUGUAUUCGGAUGGAUUUGAGUAGGAGCGUAAAGCCUCGGACCCGAAAGAUGGUGAACUAUGCCUGUAUAGGGUGAAGCCAGAGGAAACUCUGGUGGAGGCUCGCAGCGGUUCUGACGUGCAAAUCGAUCGUCAAAUAUGGGCAUGGGGGCGAAAGACUAAUCGAACCAUCUAGUAGCUGGUUACCGCCGAAGUUUCCCUCAGGAUAGCAGUGUUGUUCUUCAGUUUUAUGAGGUAAAGCGAAUGAUUAGGG